rnacentral:lncRNA from 1 species
UUAAUAUUUAACAUCAGCUGAAACUUUGGGGAUGCCAAAACAUCUUGUAAUACUUAAGUGCCUAUCACUUUACAGUGGAGUAAUUCUGUUUAUUUAGAUUCCUCCUUUUUAAGCAAGACUGCCUUUCUGUAAAAUAUUGAUUUUAGUUUUUAAAUAGACAUGACAAACAGCUUGGGUUUAUGAAAACCAAAACCUCCCCUAAAUAUCUGGGGACUUUUCCCCUCCAAUUUGAUGCUAAUAAAUAAGCAGAAGGGGGAGAGUGGCUCAAAGAAGCCUUGGGACCAGCAUUAAAAUAACAUUUAGGUGACAACAGAAAUGCUAAAUAUUCUCCAUGGUGUAUAUCUAAACAGGAUGGGUGUCUCACCUCCCCUCACAUAAUUAAAAUGCUGAACAGCAGCACAGGAAGAGUUACUUAAGCCUUUGGUUCUAAAAUAGCAAUGCUCAGAGCAAAGCCAGGCAUUUGUAGGGCUUUGGAACCGAGGUCUGUAACCCACGGGAAGCAGCUGCUGAUUUAUUCCAUCAAUCUCACAUUUGAAAGCUAUCAGUUCUCUGGAUGCCUCAGCCAUCCACGACUUGUCCUGCAGCCAAGAGGGUCCAGGUCAGUGCUGGGGAGCAGGACUGUGCUGCCACAGGGAUCUCCACACUGCAGCCCUUGCCCUGCAGCCAAAGCAGGUGAGGGCAGUGCCCUCUGAAGCAGGAGGACACCUCCAUGUGUGCCACUGUCCUUGGAUGAGGGAGGAUGGCAGGAGAAGAGGGCCAAGGCAUCCCUGGAGAAGUCCUGCAAGCUCCCAGCUUGCCAUUUGUGCCAUCCUGGCAUUUCCCUGCUAUCUCCUGGUGCUGAAGGACAGCUCAAACGCCUCGUUAAUCACCGCUGAUGACGGAGCUGUGGCACUCAGGUCCUGCUGGCUGCUGCUUCCCCAGCCAGGGAUGUUUUGCCGAUGCUGCUCCCUGAAAACUCCAGCUGAAAACUGGGGGAAAACUGCCCCCCUCGGAGCUGUAGUUUGUGGAAGAUGUUCCUACUCUGUUCCAGUCUCUCAUUCCUGCUCAUAGGGCACACAGUGAGUUGUGCCCUUGCAAACCUGCAUCUUUUUACAGUACAUUUUUCCCUUCUCUGUGCUUGUCAAGAUCGAGGGCAGCUCCGUGGUGGGCUGAUCUGCUGCUGCAUUGAUCUGGCAAAGGCUGGGGGUGAAAGCCCCACAGCCUCCAGACGAGGCCAUAGAGCUUUCAGGAUGCAGUUUUUCCGAAUCUGUCCAUCACACAGCAAACAAACACCCCCAGCCUGGAGGCAGCUGGCUCGGGGGUGAGCAUCGAUCGCUGGCUGCUGGGUGAGACCCACCAGAACCCCACCGGUGUCAGGAGGCAGCUCCAGCCCUCCCAGCUCCCAAUCACAGGGCUGGGAAGGAAAGCCAGCCUUCUCAGGAAUCAAUCAUUUGACAUCUGCUGUCAGCCUUCUGACACCCAGCCCCGCCGGUGAGGACCCCAGCAGGAAGCCUGGUGGAUCUCAGCUUGUUUUGGUCUUAA